rnacentral:lncRNA from 1 species
AGACGCGUGGGAGAGUGAGGUCUUGGAGCUGCUGGAGCUGAUACGCUGCCGCCAUGGAGCUCCUGGCAGCUGCCGAAAUAUUUCUGGAGGCCCCAGUGAGAUUCCAACCAUUCUGGCCUCUUGAGCCACCAGAGCCAGGGCGAGGCCGCGCGGGGGUUGGGGGAGCCCAAGGAGCGAACGAGGUGACUGUGCCACCUGAUGGUAUCCCGGGUCCUCCUUCGUGAGUGGUGUUCCUUACUUCUGGCCAGCCCAACCCCGACGGGACUCGGCGGAAGGCGUCCAGACAAGGUGUCCGUGGCUCCAUCACACCAGAAUAAAGAAGGCUGCUCCCACCGCUGACACAGAUGCCUGGGACACUGCCUGGCACAGUGAGAACCCCCUCAAGGUCAAGAUAUGUAGGCGCCCACCAUCGGAAAACAAUGAGCCCUGCUCUGCCCACACCUGGAAGCUCGUUGAACUGUGCCCUGGAAGCCAGAGGAUCUCCAUGCAAACUUGAACUGACGGGGACUGUUGGUAAUUGCCAUUGCCAUUGCCAUAGCCCUCGUGUUUGGAGUGGGGCUCUGUGCCGUAACCCCCUCGGGAUGGGGACAGGGAGCCCAGCUGCCUGUCUGUGCAGUGUGUCUCCUGACGGGCAGUGUGCUAGGAUCCCUGCUCCUACCAGGUCAGCGAGCAAAAUCAAGGGACUCACAGUCCUGUGAACACUCGCCCUGCUGCUCACUCCAGGGGCGACAGGCUGGAACAGGGCUGACUCAUGCCAGGCUGCCUGGAAACCACUACCCGGCUGGCUACCGGGAAUAGAUUUCAAGUUCGAAGAGUUACAUGAGGGGCCUCCGCCGCCCCCCUGAUAAAGCUACUGGGCUGAAACUCAGCCCUCCGAGCCAAGGCCCCGGCCUGGGCCAGGUGCUGAAUGCGGGGACUGCUGGCUCUGGCUGCCCAUCCAGAAGCCCCAGCCUACUGCUGUCCCGAUGAGCGUCCUCAGUGCCGCCAGGGAAGGCAAAGCCAGUUGGAUCCAAGAACCUAGGCCGAUAGGUGUAUGCAUGCCUCUCAGGGCCCUGAGGUGCCUUCAGAGCCUUGGGAAAGUGGUUCAGGAACUCCCAUGGAAUAGGUUUGAGGACAGCCCCAUGUAGACCCGUGACGCCGGAUGCGAGGACAUCUUGGUGUCGCCAUCGGGAAGGCUGUGGGCGGUUGUACCUCCUGCUGGAGUCUGUGUUCCAGUCUGAGAGCUGCUAGCUUGGCCUCUGUCCCUGAAGGUGUGUCUUCCAGCCAAGGGGCCGCCCCCCAUCCCCCACCUUGCAGGGGGUUCUUCCAGGAGUCCAUCAGCCUGGCCGUCCUCUCUGUGAGCUCAGAAGAGACUGCCCCCGAGAUCGAUGCCAUGGUGUGUGUCUAGAUUCUGAUGCUGUGAGUGUAAUGAAGCCAGAUCAGAGAGCCUGUUCUCAGCUAGGCGGCCGUUCCUCCAGAAGUUUGGCAGCCCCACCAGCCCCCUCGCUCCCGGGGGGGGCCUUGCCCCUCCAGCCUCCGCGCUGCUCUCCGCACAGAGCUGCCGUGGCCGUGGCUGAGCGAGCCCUGGGUGGGGCGAGCAACCUCUUCGACACACACAGCGCUCCUGGCCAUGGCGCAGCGCUUCCGGCAGAACCGCAGUGAACUCAUGACCACCUGGACCUGUGGGUCUAUGACGGGGGGAGGGGGGGCCCAGCCCUGUCCCUGGAUUCCGGGGAGCAGAUGCUGCGGGCGACCUGACCGGCGACACUGUCUUCAGCUACUGCUGCAAGGCUCUGCAAGACGCUGCUGGCCUGGCGCCAGCGCUGGAAGUCCUUCCUGCACUUGGAGACCACUGAGCCGCCCUCUGGCCCUGGAUCGCCAUGGAGGAGGGCUUCCAACUGGUGUGUGAGCUGGGCACGCUGGACUGGAUCUACCACGAGCCAAGCCCAAGUGCCUGGCUCCCAAAGACAUGCCUGUGGCGGUGCCUACUGACGGCCGCGCCCUCGGAGCUGUCCCUCUCCCUGGUCAGCCUGCUGGUCAAGGGCAUGACGGUGCUGAAGAUCCAGACCAUGGCCGCCAAGCUCCUGCUGGGGCCCAACCCGAUGAACACAAAUCGUGGGCUGGCUGCUGAGCCGCGGUGUGUCCAGGGAGCGGGUGGACCGGUGAACCACCAGGGUCCUCCUGGAGCUGCCCAUCAAAGGGGCCAAGCACAGCCGGGGCUGAGGCCCCCCACGUGCUGGUGGAGGAGCAGCCCCUGCCUCCCCGGUCCUCUGACCAGGCCUGCAGGGAGGAGCUGCAGUGCACCAGGACUACGCACCCCACAAUCCAGGCCACUUUCUGCUUGGUGCUGGGAGUGGAGCAGGGGCCCAUGUCGGAGAGACACAAAGUCUUGGCCAAAGCGCCUCCUGAUCGUCCCCAGGAUAGACAGAGGGACAGCACCCCCAGCUCCAGCCAUCUCCUGCCAGGCCAGACCCUGACCACGCAUCCUGAAAACCUCGGAGAGGGUCCUUGCCCCCGCCGCCGUGGGCAUCACUGGCCUGAGCUGGUGGAGAGCAGCCAGUUGGCUGGCGUUGCUGGUUGAGGGGAGAGAGUCCGUUAAAUAUUUCAGUCUGUUACACCUUAGCCUGAUAAGCGGGGUGGGUGGGCACCCACCGUUGUGCCACACGGGCCCCCAACGCACUACAGGCCAAGCUUGAGACCCCGCAUCCCACCCCGCAAAAGCACCUUCAAGUUUGUGCCCUUGCCCUUGAGGUUUUUUCUUUAACGCGGUGGCUGUACCUGAUACUUGACUUUAGGCGUGUGCGGCGCUUGGGUUUAGUGUCCUCACUACUGCUUUUGUGAUGGUUUUUCUCUAAGUUGUUUUUUUUGUUUGUUUUUUUUGCAAUGCCCUUUUCUUGAAAUGGAAUUUUUUUGCCUUUUGCUUUCCUGGGAAAAGGGCAGCCAGUCCCUUCCAGUUUCUCUCGCUGCACGCGUGGCUGGAGUGUCUGCAUCACCAGAGUUCCAGCAUUGUGAGGAUGGACAGCCGUGGCAGGUGGUGCCGGACACCAUUAAAGAGCCCAUGUGCUGC